CCUACGGGAGGCAGCAGUGGGGAAUAUUGGACAAUGGGCGAAAGCCUGAUCCAGCCAUGCCGCGUGUGUGAAGAAGGCCUUCGGGUUGUAAAGCACUUUCAGUGGGGAAGAAAGCCUUGGGGCUAAUACCCUCGAGGAAGGACAUCACCCACAGAAGAAGCACCGGCUAACUCCGUGCCAGCAGCCGCGGUAAUACGGAGGGUGCGAGCGUUAAUCGGAAUUACUGGGCGUAAAGCGCGCGUAGGCGGUCUGAUAAGCCGGUUGUGAAAGCCCCGGGCUCAACCUGGGAACGGCAUCCGGAACUGUCAGGCUAGAGUGCAGGAGAGGAAGGUAGAAUUCCCAGUGUAGCGGUGAAAUGCGUAGAGAUCGGGAGGAAUACCAGUGGCGAAGGCGGCCUUCUGGACUGACACUGACGCUGAGGUGCGAAAGCGUGGGUAGCAAACAGGAUUAGAUACCCCUGUAGUC
rnacentral:rRNA from 1 species